UGGUUCUGGCAUCGAUGAAGAACGCAGCGAAAUGCGAUAAGUAAUGUGAAUUGCAGAAUUCAGUGAAUCAUCGAAUCUUUGAACGCACAUUGCGCCCGUCAGUAUUCUGGCGGGCAUGCCUGUUCGAGCGUCAUUUCAACCCUCGAGCCCCAGCGGCUUGGUGUUGGGGACCGGCGCAGGGCGCCCCCCGCGGGCGCCUGCCGUCCCCGAAAUGGAUUGGCGGUCUCGUCGCAGCCUCCCCUGCGCAGUAGCACAGAACCUCGCAUCGGGAGCGUGACGCGGCCACUGCCGUAAAACGCCCAACUUUCUAAGAGUUGACCUCGGAUCAGGUAGGAAUACCCGCUGA
rnacentral:misc_RNA from 1 species